AGCAGCAGCCACGGUAAUACAGAGGGUGCGAGCGUUAAUCGGAUUUACUGGGCGUAAAGCGUGCGUAGGCGGCUUCUUAAGUCGGAUGUGAAAUCCCUGAGCUUAACUUAGGAAUUGCAUUCGAUACUGGGAAGCUAGAGUAUGGGAGAGGAUGGUAGAAUUCCAGGUGUAGCGGUGAAAUACGUAGAGAUCUGGAGGAAUACCGAUGGCGAAGGCAGCCAUCUGGCCUAAUACUGACGCUGAGGUACGAAAGCAUGGGGAGCAAACAGGAUUAGAUACCCGUGUAGUCCCUGUCUCUUAUAC
rnacentral:rRNA from 1 species